GACGAACGCUGGCGGCGUGCUUAACACAUGCAAGUCGAACGGAAAGGCCCUGCUUUUGUGGGGUGCUCGAGUGGCGAACGGGUGAGUAACACGUGAGUAACCUGCCCUUGACUUUGGGAUAACUUCAGGAAACUGGGGCUAAUACCGGAUAGGAGCUCCUGCUGCAUGGUGGGGGUUGGAAAGUUUCGGCGGUUGGGGAUGGACUCGCGGCUUAUCAGCUUGUUGGUGGGGUAGUGGCUUACCAAGGCUUUGACGGGUAGCCGGCCUGAGAGGGUGACCGGCCACAUUGGGACUGAGAUACGGCCCAGACUCAUACGGGGGGCAGCAGUGGGGAAUAUUGCACAAUGGGCGGAAGCCUGAUGCAGCAACGCCGCGUGCGGGAUGACGGCCUUCGGGUUGUAAACCGCUUUCGCCUGUGACGAAGCGUGAGUGACGGGAAUGGGUAAAGAAGCACCGGCAAACUACGU
rnacentral:rRNA from 1 species